rnacentral:rRNA from 1 species
CGAGCACGNAGGGAACCGGCUAUACAUGCAAGUCGAGCGGACCGACGGGAGCUUGCUCCCUUAGGUCAGCGGCGGACGGGUGAGUAACACGUGGGUAACCUGCCUGUAAGACUGGGAUAACUCCGGGAAACCGGGGCUAAUACCGGAUGCUUGAUUGAACCGCAUGGUUCAAUCAUAAAAGGUGGCUUUUAGCUACCACUUACAGAUGGACCCGCGGCGCAUUAGCUAGUUGGUGAGGUAACGGCUCACCAAGGCGACGAUGCGUAGCCGACCUGAGAGGGUGAUCGGCCACACUGGGACUGAGACACGGCCCAGACUCCUACGGGAGGCAAGCAAGUAGGGAAUCUUCCGCAAUGGACGAAAGUCUGACGGAGCAACGCCGCGUGAGUGAUGAAGGUUUCGGAUCGUAAAACUCUGUUGGUAGGGGAAGAACAAGUACCCGUUCGAAUAGGGCGGCACCUUGACCGGUACCUUAACCAGAAAGCCACGGCUAACUACGUGCCAGC